AGCUUUGCACAGUGGCAGCAUCGUAGCCAGUGAGGUUUAUCUGAGGCGUGAUUAUUGCUCAUUCAAAGCUUUUCCCAAUACCCCGUCAUGACGACCUGUAAUAUAGUCGGCAAUUUUUGAUGGUCUCUGCAAGAGA